GCGAUUUGUAAGUUCCCAGUCAGGCCGCAGGCAAAAGCAGAAGCAAGUUUCAGAUCAUUUUCAAAUGCAGCUGUCAGAAAGGGCCUCACUGAAAGGGGUUGUUACCAGAUGCUGGCAGCCAUGGCCUGGGCGCCACUCUGCUUCAAGACAAGGGAGACAAGCUGAAACUCAUGAGGCUAAUGGGGCUGGAGAAAGAACGUGCAGCAGGCAAAAUGGAUUGUAGCAACCAGACCCACAACUUGCUUCAAUGUCUCCUUUCAGUGUCACGCACAGCUCGUGACAGGCCGACAGAUCAGGACAACCAUCCCAACAGUGGAAGCAAAGCUGUUUCCCAAAUAUAACCGCCACAAGAAGGUGAAAGAGAAGAAUGAAAAGGCAAAUUAUGAUUACAUAUUCUUCUAUAAUCGGAGUCUUACUGGAAUUGCAGCCUAGGCAGUGUGUCAAACACAAGCUGGACGGUGAGAAAAGCUGGAAGACACACUUGUAGUGGUUGUUGCUAAGCCUCCGGAGCCCAGAUCCUUCCCUGUGCAAACUGACAAUGGCAUAAUAACCCAAAGGAAUAAAGGGCACCUCCAGCUUUUGCCAUAGCCAACGGAGUAGCAAGGGAUGAAACACAACAACAAUGUGUGAGUUGCAGAGCCCAGCACAGAAAAAGAUUUCCAAGUGAAGCCCAUGGAUGGGACAGCUGCUCCUCCUGCAAAAACAGACCAGCCAAUCACACCUUGAACAACCUUGAAGAGAACCACUGUAGGAAGAGUGGUCAAACCUGCGGUGAGAUUCAGAGACAAUGUUACACACGAACAGCAACUGUGCAAAGGGCAGAAUAAUCUCCUGGGCAGUCUACCCAACAGUCCUAGUUAACACAUGUGAAGUGUUGGAGUUGGAAAAGUAUGUUAAUUUGCAAUAUUUAGCAUAAGAGUUAAAAGUUGUGUUUUGUUCAAACAACAGAAGGAAAAUUAUGUUAAAUGUAUAUUGUAUGUCAAAAAGGUGGGAAGAUGUGGUGAUAUGGAAUUGUAAUUGGGUAGGAGUUGGUAAUUGGGUAGUUGAAUGGAAGUGACAUGGAAAAUGCAAAGUGAAACGUCUUUGUGCUGCCUCUUCAGUUCUAA